rnacentral:lncRNA from 1 species
GCCGCGCCCGCCGUCCUCGCCGCGGUCUUCUCUUCAGGCGCCUACCGCGGCUGGCAAGUCCCUGCUGGCAGAGCAGCGGAGGUCCCCGAAUCAACUUUCAAUUCCCCCUCUGCUUCUGCCUCACCAUUCUCUUCUCCGCGAAAGAUGGCUGUUUGGAGAAGGGGGCGAAGUUAGGGGGUCCUCGGCGCGGGGCGAAGGAGGGCGCGACAGCCUCGGCGGGAGCGGACGGAGGUUUCCCCUUUCCCAGCCUCUCGUGGACCAGCGUUGCCAGCUGAAGGAAGGUUGUGAAUCUGCAUCCCAGCCCAUUAGUCCUUCUCCUGAUUCCCGUGAUGAGUUCACCAGUGCAGCCUGGUCAGUUUGGUUGUUUCUUAAGCUAUUAACAGAUGUAAUAUGAAAGAUGUUGCUUUGUGUUGCUUCAAACCAAGCAAUUUAACUUAUGAAAGGACUUUUUAUUCUGAUGAGGAUGUGUGGAUACAAUGAAUUUUGAAUUUUGUGUUCUAUAGCUAAUCCUUUGUUAUGUAACCAUCUUGCUUUCCAGGCAAUUAAUUUCAUUUGAAUUAUUAUCUGAGCACUGGGCUUUAGUUCUUCUGCUAAUGUAACAUUUGGAUUGAAUUUUAUGAAGUUAUAAAUAUUUAUUAAAUAUGUUGUAGGCAUCUAAUUCAUAUCCAUAGUCUUUCUGAGUCCGUGUCUGUAUGUUUUAAAUUGUGUCAUAGGCUUUGGAUAUCAGCUUGUGGACUCAUUUUCCUCCUCCUUCUCUUUGACACACAGGAAGGAUAUUUCUCCUCCCUGCCCUUCUUUGCUGCCACUCCUGUUUCCUACAUACAUGUUUAAUUAUAAUCUCAGCACCUGCUUCCUCUGAGUCCAGUGUAAUGUGUGGCUCAUGUAGUGUUGUGAUAAGCACAGCCAACACCCAUUUCUCCAGGAACAGGGUGUCACUUUGGGAACAAACACAAUCCAAGUCUUAAAAAUGAUGGAGUAGUUUCAGAUAUCAUAUGUUAAACAUAGAGAAAUUUAAAAAGAAUUUUCUGUUUGAAUCAUUGUAGGAGUAUUUAUUUCUAUAUAUUCUUUAAAAAAAAAUCUCUCAGCACGUUGGUAUCUUUGAGUUAUCCAACUCCUGAGGUUGAAGCUAAUGUAAUAUUUUAUUCAGAGUUUAUAAAGGGAAAUCUUUUGCCAAGAUUUUCAGUCUGUGGAGUGCCACACCCAGAUCAGCUGCUCUGGAAUUCCAAUGUCUCAUCAACCUUUCCCAGAGCCCCAACAGGCUGCCAGCUUGUAUGUUGAAUUUGGAACUGAAAGGUUUUGGCGCGUACAACUGUAAUUGUUGAUUCUAAAUGAUGUAGUAAAGAUAUUCCAGAAUCUUUCUUCACAAUCAUGAUUUAUAAUUGGCGUUGUCAUCUGAAUAAGCACAUGAAGAGUUACACAGGCCUCUUAUCUCUGAGUCCUUGCAGUGCAGUGUUUCUCCAACUUCAGCAUCACUGGGAGGGCUUGUUAAAAUCAAGCCCCAUUCUCAAAGUUUUUGAUUCAGUAGAUCUUAGGUGGGUCCCAGGAAUUGUGAUACUUAUAAGUAUCCCCCCGGUGAGGCUACUGCUGCCUGAGGACUACACUUUGGAAAGCACUGAUCUAGCUUGCUAGUCCCGUUCCUUCCUCCACCUCUGCUUGCCUCCAUCCUCUCCUCCCUCCACACCCCCACCCUUACAGGCAGCCCUCUGUGCAUUACUUAUCACAAUUAUGGUGUAUUAUUACUGUCCUUUCUAUUGAGUUGGACUUAAAAUGAUGUGUGUGUUUUAUAUAUGCAUAUAUUACAUUUAAAUAUACAUUAUAUAUUGAUUUGUAUAUAACUUUAAUGUUUCAAAAUUACAUAAUUUAAAAGAGGCAUUUAAUUUAGAACUACCAUAGUCAAACAUUUUUUUUUCUUGUGGUAGAAUAUGUUAGAGUCAUUAAAAACAUAUUACAAGCAAUUGGAACAAAUUGGCUAAGUAUGAAUGUGGCAGAAAAUUUCCUCCAUUUCUAAAGUUACUGUCUAAAAUUUAUAUAGGGGAUUGUCUUUAAUUGUAAAGGACAGAAACUAGACUUUUAUAAAAUUGUCCCUGUCCCUUUAUUCUCUGCCUUCCUCCCCCAUAUCCUGUCCACAUUGUUUACCUCCCAGUUUUACUUCACAGAAGAGUGGCAGGGCAGAUUGAACCAUGGGAAAAUGGAAUUUUUGACAGUGACAGCAACUGUAUCCAAGUGAAACAUUUGAAAUGGCAUUUCUAUGUAAUCAUUAAAUGGGUAAAAAGUGCAGAUACCCUUGAUGGUUGAAGGUUGAAGGAUGCAACUAUAUGGGGAAAUUUUGAAUCCAAAUUAUAAUUAAACCCAAUUUAUCAUACUUAACUAACUUGUAAAUAGUGCAAGUACAGCAAUUUCAGUGUCUAUAUGGUCUUUUUUUAGCAUCUUUCUAGGAUGUAUGGACUUGGACCCACUUAUUUUUUUCUUUCCUUUUUAAAUUUAAGUAUAAUUAAUGUAUAAUAAUAUUUAUUUUACAGGUUACAGUAUAAUGAGUCACAAUUUUUAAAGCUUAUACUCCAUUUAUAGUUAUUAUAAAACAUUGGCUAUAUUUUCUGUGCUGUAUAAUAUAUCCUUGUAGCUUAUUUUAUACGUAUUGGUUUGUACCUCUUAACCCCUUAACCCCAUAUUGCCCCUUCCCUCUUCCCUCUCCCCACUGGUAGCCAACUAGAUUGCUCUCUAUAUCCCUGAGUCUGUUUCUUUUUUGUUACAUUCACUAGUUUGUUGGGUUUUUUUUUAGAUUCCAUGUAUCUGUCUUUCUUUGCUUUGUUUCACUUAGCAUAAUACCCUUCCAGUCCAUUCAUCUGUUGCAUAUGGUAGAAUUUCACAAUGGACCCACUUAUUUUUAAUGCGAAACAUGUAAUACCAUUAGACACUAUCGUAAGUGGUUAGACUUCCAGUUUAACCCAUUGAACCCUACUUAAAGAUAACUACUUUGCAGUGAAUGAAUACAGAAAAAUUUUGACAGCCUUUGAAAAAGAGAAUCAAUACAAUGUAAUAAGGAAUAUUUAAAAAUUUUGCAUGUUUAGAGAAAAGUGGACCAAUUUGACAGGAAAACAAACAAGUGAGAAAAUUUGAUGGAGAUAGUUCAUGUGAACUAUGGGCACCUUAGAUCAUUUCUCAGAAGGAUCAGCAUUACUUCUAAUUUCAUUCUAAAAGUAAUGAUUUUGGGGAGGCCAGUGUUAGGGUGAUUUCACUAUUCCUUUUCUCAUCUUAUGUAUGGAACAGAGGGAGGAAAUGGUGUGUGUGUGUGUGUGUGUGUAAAAUACAUGGUCAGAAGUAACAUUUACUGAACUUUGUGAGAUAAAGAAGAAAAGGAAAACAGAAGAGUGCAUGCAUCUAACGCUUAAGGGAGAAGAAGGAAACAUGAUUAAAGAGGAUUUGAGGUUAAAUAGAAAUCUUCUUGUCCAUGCAGUGUAUGUUGUUGGUUAUGUAGAAAGUGGCUGUGAAGUCAUGCUUCAAGGCGCAUGUGAAGACAGAGAUGUAUAUGUAUAGCUGUGUGUGUAUGUAUAGCUCAGCUUCUUAUGCUCAGGAUGAUAACAAUUUAUAGCAUUAUUUUAAAAUACAGAGUUCCUGUAUGUAAAUGGAAUACUUAAGAUGGUCAGAUACAUUGGACUUCUUUUCAAAAACACAAAGUGAAGUAAUACCAAAGACUUUGAUUAAUUCCACAUAUACCUGACACUGGCUCACAACUAGUAAUAUUUGACGGUUGCAAUCAGCAUACACUGACCCUGAGAAUGUUGAUUUUAUAAUUUGAAAAUGUCCUUUGAGGCUGCUAUUUUGAUGAGGAAGUUCUUGCUGGCCAUGAUACUUGUUCAGCUAGAAGAGGGAGUGAGAAAUGAGACAGCCACAAAGUGAAGCUCAUUUGACUUUUGAGUCAUUAAAAUUUCGUUAUGUACUUUCUUUCCUAUGCAUGAUUCUAGUCUGGUCUGUUGAGAACAGCAUUUUACAGAGGGUUUUUUUUUUUUUUUUUUGGUCUUUUUGUCUUUUAGGGCUGCAGUCACAGCAUAUGGAGGUUUCCAGGCUAGGGGCAAUUGGAACUGUAGCCAACAGUCUACUCCAGAGCCAUAGCAACACUGGAUCCAAGCAGCAUCUGCGACCUACACCACAUCUCAUGGCAACGCUGGAGGCCAAGGAUCGAACCCACGUCCUCAUGGAUGCUAGUCAGGUUUGCUAACUGCUGAGCCAUGACAGGAACUCCUACAGCGGUCUUAACCAAUUGUGUUUGGGAAGUUUUUAUGAAUGAAGUCUGAACUGAAGAAAGUCAUAGCAAAUAGAUCAGGUGGGUAGGAAUCCUAUAUUUAUUGUAAGUACAAUCUAUGAUUAGAGACCUGAAAUGCAUUCUGCAUAUAAAAAGGAAAACGUUCUGGCCACAGGCAUUAAAACAUUCUUCUGCUACUAUUAGUGUGUAUCUUAUGAUGCCAUGUAUUUUCUACCGGUAAGAAAUAACCUAAUUGUUUGACUUAAAAAAAGGAUUUUUCUUACAUCUCCUUUUAAAAAAAAACUACGUAAAGGGAAUUAAAUCGACCUUGUGCAAUAAUCAUCCAUUUAUUUUGCUUUUGUUCCACGAGGGGCUCUAAAGAGUUAUUAUGCACCAGAAAAAGUAGACUUAACGUCGAUUGCUCCAGAAAUUCUUUAUAGUCAAUGUUUGAAAUAGAGUGGGUUUUUUGUUUUUUUUUUGAAACUUUUCUCUGGGAUAGUGUGAAGUCUUAUUUUCCCCAUGCAUUGAUCCCAUUCUCAUGAGAAUUUUAUCUCAAUAUUCAGCUAUAGUUGAUAUCAAGUACUAAAUAUUACUGUCUUGAUCAUGUGUUCAAUCAAACAAGAAGUACUGAUCUUUGAAUAUAGAAUUCACUGGUUUUUAUUUUGAUCUUGCUGCCCCAAGAAGGAUCUAAGUUAGAGUACUAGGUAUUGCUUUUGGACCCUGAGGAGCCUGAAUGGAGAGAAGACUAUAUGAAUAAGACUGGCAGCCAGCUGCUGCAAUUGAGAGUCAUUUAUUUAUUAUUUUAUUUUUUAAAUUACUCAACGAAUUUAUUACAUUUAUGGUUGUACAAUGAUCAUCACAAUCCAAUUUUGUAGGAUUUCCAUCCCACACCCCAGAGUCAUUCAUUUAAAUCUUAUUAAGCAUACAUUCUGUGUUAGGCAGUGGGGACACAAAGAGUACUAAAAACGUUUCCACCCUUUAUCAACAGUAUCAUUUAGUGGGGGAGACAGAGUAAAGAGUUUUGGCCCAUUCACUGUGUUAAGUGUUUUAAUAAAUAGGGGAACAGAAGUUAAUUUCUUCUGUACAGCAUAUAGGUGCCAUUUAGUUAAUUUUUAUCAGGAUUGCUAGGUGGCAGAAGAAACGGCUUUUAAGGCUCAUCUAAGCUAGAGUUUUCCUAACAUAUCAGAUAAUAAAAAUUAUGUGAUGUUCUUGUUAAGAAUACAGAUUCUAAGACCUCCCCCAUUCUCUCUGCCCUCCCCCCAAAGACUUAAUGCAGUAGAUCUGGAGGGGAUAUUAAAUAACAUAUUGCAUGUUGCUCUCCACUGUGACUUUUCAAAAGUCUAGAAGUGUUCUUUAAUUUGUCUGAUAAAUACUAGUGUUCCUCAUUGAGACUCUGGAAAAAUAAAAAAGUACAUCAUUAAAUUCUAUCUCAAUAUAGGUAUUUCUCCUGUGAGCUAAGCUGUAACUCAGGUAUCUUGCUUUCUGAUAAACAAAAAGAUAGUGCUGUUGAAAACUAGAGGAGGUAAUACUUUUCAGGAAAAUUGUAGGGCUUUAUGUGUAUUCUCUGCUAAUAAACCAUCAUGAUUUUAUGUGGAUUUGAACCAAAGAGAUUCUUAAUAAAUAGAGUACAUUUUUUUUCCUUAGAACAAAUUUCUAACUAAUUUAACCCAGGUCAUAUUUGUAGUAUGGUCCCAAAAUUAUAGAAAACAUGAUUUGUGCCUGGAUGUUUUUAAGAGUAAAUGAAUUAGGCUGCAUCAACCCUAGAAUGAUUCCAGUAUGACUUUUAAUUUUGAUGAAUCUAAUUUAUGUAAUUUAAUUUUGAUGAAUAGGCAACCAAAGGAAUUUUACAAACAUAGAGCACAGUGGAUGUGAUGCCCCCUGAAAUUACAUAAGGUUCUGGCCUUGUGGACUCUUCACUGAGUUUGAAUGGUAGAGUUACGAUAGCUGUAUGGCCAAGUCCUAUAACAUUAGUUUU